UGCGUAGGCGGAAUGAUAAGUUAGUGGUGAAAGCCCCCGGCUCAACCGGGGAACUGCCAUUAAUACUGUCAUUCUUGAGUAUAGUUGAAGUGGGCGGAAUGUAUCAUGUAGCGGUGAAAUGCUUAGAUAUGAUACAGAACACCGAUAGCGUAGACAGCUUGCUAAACUAUAACUGACGCUCAGGCACGAAAGCGUGGGGAGCAAACAGGAUUAGAUACCCUGGUAGUCC
rnacentral:rRNA from 1 species